UACAGAGGGUGCAAGCGUUAAUCGGAAUUACUGGGCGUAAAGCGUGCGUAGGUGGUUACGUAAGUCGGAUGUGAAAGCCCCGGGCUCAACCUGGGAAUUGCAUUCGAGACUGCAUAGCUAGGAUGCGGAAGAGGGAAGCGGAAUUUCCGGUGUAGCGGUGAAAUGCGUAGAUAUCGGAAGGAACACCAGUGGCGAAAGCGGCUUCCUGGUCCAGCAUCGACGUUCAGGCACGAAAGCGUGGGGAGCAAACAGG
rnacentral:rRNA from 1 species